UGUCCUGACUCACCGCCAUCUUGGUGGUGUGCGAGACUCUGGGACGGCAUGAGAAAGGAAGAGAGGGAGCAAAGGAGCUGGUGGGGUGUCACAGGGCCCAUGUAUGAGGCAGAUUUGAGUUCUAUAUCCAGUUUUGCAAUUUAUCCAUUUAUCUGCCUGAGACACUUGGGAACACCUACUUGACAGCCCUGAUUCAAGUGUUGGCGGAUAGGAGGGAGGAGACUCCUGACCCUCAGAAUGAGAGCUGAAGAGCCAAGAAUAAAAUGCUCACCUUACAAUUUACUUUUGGAAAACUCAACAUCUUACCUUUUCGCCUUUUUGGAUUGCAACAAAAACAUCACAGAAUUUCUGAUAUUAAAUUUAUUUUGGAAUGUA